CGUGCCUAACACAUGCAAGUCGAACGGAGAUGUUGAUUUCGGUUGACGUCUUAGUGGCGAACGGGUGAGUGACGCGUGAACAAUCUGACCUUAAGAGGGGGAUAACAACGAGAAAUCGUUGCUAAUACCGCAUAAGACCACAAUGCCGCAUGGCGAAGGGGUCAAAGGAGCAAUCCGCUUAAGGAGGGGUUCGCGUCCCAUUAGGUAGUAGGUGAGGUAACGGCCACCUAGCCGACGAUGGGUAGCCGAGCUGAGAGGCUGAUCGGCCACACUGGAACUGAGACACGGUCCAGACUCCUACGGGAGGCAGCAGUGGGGAAUAUUGGGCAAUGGGCGCAAGCCUGACCCAGCAACGCCGCGUGAGGGAAGAAGGUUUUCGGAUUGUAAACCUCGGUCGCAGAUGACGAAACAAAUGACGGUAAUCUGUGAGGAAGCCCCGGCUAACUACGUG
rnacentral:rRNA from 1 species